rnacentral:rRNA from 1 species
CCUACGGGCGGCAGCAGUGGGGAAUAUUGCACAAUGGGGGAAACCCUGAUGCAGCGACGCCGCGUGAGUGAAGAAGUAUCUCGGUACGUAAAGCUCUAUCAGCAGGGAAGAAAAUGACGGUACCUGACCAAGAAGCCCCGGCUAACUACGUGCCAGCAGCCGCGGUAAUACGUAGGGGGCAAGCGUUAUUCGGAUUUACUGGGUGUAAAGGGAGCGUAGGCGGCAGCGCAAGUCUGGAGUGAAAUCCCGGAGCUUAACCCCGGAACUGCUUUGGAAACUGUGCGGCUUGAGUGCAGGAGGGGUAAGCGGAAUUCCUGGUGUAGCGGUGAAAUGCGUAGAUAUUAGGAGGAACACCGGUGGCGAAGGCAGCUUACUGAACUGUGACUGACAUUGAUGCUCGAAAGUGUGGGUAUCAAACAGGAUUAGAUACCCGGGUAGUC